rnacentral:rRNA from 1 species
GACAGAGGGUGCAAACGUUGUUCGGAAUUACUGGGCGUAAAGCGCGUGUAGGCUGCUCGGAAAGUCGGAUGUGAAAGCCCUGGGCUCAACCUAGGAAGUGCAUUCGAAACUUCCGAGCUGGAGUGCUGGAGAGGAAGGCGGAAUUCUCGGUGUAGAGGUGAAAUUCGUAGAUAUCGAGAGGAACACCCGUAGCGAAGGCGGCACUCUGGGCCGGAACUGACGCUGAGGAGCGAAAGCGUGGGGAGCAAACAGG